rnacentral:lncRNA from 1 species
AACCAAAUAACAACUUGAGUCUAAUGACUUCCCUUCAGGUUGUGCACUCAGGGAGAUUUAAAAUCACGUUAGAAUGGCUUGAGGGAAAAAAUAACCACUCCUUUCUGCUCCUGAUAAAUGCAGCCAGCUUUGCUGGUCUGGGUUUCUUAAAUGAUCUGCAUUUACAGCAGUAUCCAUGACCCAGAGAGAGUAUCAGUGUCAGGAAUCUGCCAGUGGGAAAGUGAUUUGAAGCAGCUCUGGAGUUCAAAUGGCCACAAGCGCAAGUGCCUGCUCUGCUGUGCGCUUGCCUCCGGAAAGAGGCCAAGUCUCUCAGAACCUUUGCUGUAUCAGCCAUGCUACACCCUGAGGAUUUGGAGGGGCUGGGGCCACUGUUAGCAAUCCUGGCAGCAUGGUGUUCCUUCUUGACCAUUCAAGAUUCUGUCCAGUGUUUGGAAAAGGCACAGGUAAGGAGUCAAAAGACCUGGAUAUGGGCAUUGGGAUGGUAGUGGCAGCUACUAUGGAGUCCCAGGCUCACUCUGGGCUAAGCACUGUACUAAGUGUCUCACAGAUAUGUUCUCAGAUAACCCUUGUUGCAGAUAGAGUACUGUUUUAAUCCAUGCUUUACAGAGAAAUUGAAGUUUGAAGAGGCUAUGCAACUUACCUAAGCUUAUCUCUAGCAUUUAAUUGUGCAGGAAUCUCCAGCUGGUCACUCAAACUCUUUGGACUUCAUUUAUUUUACUGUCACAUGGAGACAAUAAUAAUACCUGCCUUGGAGAGUCACCAGGAAGAUUUAUGAAAAGGAUGCAGUGAAAGUAAGUAUUAAAGCCUACAAACUUGCAAUACGUGAUUAGAAAGACUCUGAUUUUCCAGAACAAAGUCUGGAGACAUAGAUUUCAAUUUCCUCUCUGUGUCUGCCCAUUCCAGAUUGCUGUCAGUUGAUGUAACAAAUGUUUUCUUUCUUUCCCUAAUCUUGGACAUUUUCUUAAUAGAUUAAGAGUAAUUACUCCCAAAUGGAUACAUGAAAGCCCAAUUUCUGCCUAACAUACAUCAAACCAUUCAUAAAUAUGCAUUUCUAUUUUAUUUAUUAUUCUUCAUUCAUCUAUUUCAAGUGAAAACAAACAAAUCCACUCUUUCCAAGUAUUAAAUGAUCUCAAUGCCAAAGGUGUUUUCCUGAACACUCUUCCAGCAGAGGGCACUAUUUCUCUAUAAAGAGGGUGGUCCUUAGUUUUCCAAACUGGGAUCGUCAGAUUUUGGGAUAAUUUUCUCAGAAGCUUUACAAAUAAAUUCAGACCCAAGAAUUAAGAAUUCUGGACAAUGCCAUUUGGGUUUACUUCUUUUUAAUUUAAUUUAGUUAAUUUAUUUAUUUUUAGAGACGGGGGUGUCAUCAUGUUGGCCAGGCUGGUCUCGAACUCCUGACCUCAGGCAAUCCACCCGCCUCGGCCUCCCAAAGUGCUGGGAUUACAGGCUUGAGCCACUGUGCCCUGCCGGGUUUACUUCUUGAAAAGAAUUUUCAGUUAGUGCAGAAAUGCUGAUUUUUGCCUUCUGCCAUAUGAGGUUAGCAGGUAUCUCCUUAUUUAGAAAUCACAGAAUGUGAGAGUUAGGGUCUUACAGAUCACUUAGCCCCAGAUCACAAAGAAGCUGCCUGCUGGCCAAAUUCAGCCCACAUUCAUAUUUUGUUUGCCUUCCACAAGUUUAUUAUUACUGUUACCAGACAACCAUUAGCCAGGAGGUGGCACAUACCAUAUAGAUUUCUUAGCAUAUCUUUAAAAAAUGAAUCAGAAGCUCUCACAAUGCAGAACCAACAGGACUCCAUGGUGACAACUGGCUGAGAUUCAAUAAAUUUACACC